rnacentral:lncRNA from 1 species
AAAUUUUCUAAUGCCUGUGGUAAUGGAGUUAAUUGACAUAAAAUAAAGUACCUUUAAAAGAAAAUAAACCACACAACACGUAUCAUGGUGUUUUGGCUCCCAUCUACCCUUCGAUAGCUCCGCCACUUACGCUCAUCGUAGGUCAAGCGAGCUGCCAGCUUCGAAGUCUAGUCUGCUAGGUUGGGAACCACGUAUGGCAUACACAAAUUGCUGUAAAAAAGAAAAUGAAGAUAUACUUACGGAGUCCGCCUCUACCAUGAACAAAAAUUGUAAAAACAUAAGUGUACCACUUACAUAUGAAAUUUCAUUUCUUAGGAAAUGGUAGGAACUCCACGGGGAUAAUAUCGACAGUCUGUACUUAGAUAAAUCGAUGCAUUUACCCUUGGUCCCCAUCUCCUUCAUCGUUAGAAAAAAAAGGUCCUGGUGGAUCGACAUAGUAAAAUUAUCAGACCUCGGUAAUGAAAGGACCGAUAUAAUCUGAUGAGAUGGCUAGUGUUGAACUCAAUCUCUGCUUCCUCCACAAAGAACCUUAUCAUCACUAAUGUCCUCUAGAAUGACAGGUGAACCUAUGCCAGGGUAGACUCAUAUCUUUGACAGAAGUCGAGCCUGAAUCUAUCGAAAGGGCCUAACAUAAAAGGGUACGUGUUAUAUGUUCAAAAAUCCCUCUACAUGAGCCAUGAUGUUCUCUUCCAGGGAAGGUACCUGUAGUACCACCUUUUCUCCCCAUCCACAGUCUCUCCUCACUGCCUCGAGGUAUUCCUCUCCUAUUGAUGAAAUGAACCUUGAUGCAUACUCCUAUGGGCUAUCUACAUAAACCUAGCCUCUAGAUGGCAACCGAUCUCGAGGAUCUCUGCUAUUACAAGUAUGGGUCAUUCACCAUAUUCUUUGGCCCUCGAGCUACCUGAUUCUGAGUCAGGUAUCGGUCAAGGGUUAUUAGUAAAUCCUUUUUGCCUUCAGUUCUAAUUGAAUGAUCUCUUGAUUACUUUAGCCUAGGGGCCAUCCGAGUUCGAGUGUAUUCUCGCUCUGGGACUAUCUAUAACACCUUAAGGCUAUCUUCAUUUUAUAUCCAAUGAAAGCUUUCGAGACCGCCCGAGUUCAAACAAACACUCACUCAAGGACUAAUCAUAAAGCCCUAGGGCUAUCUCUAUUUUGUGUAUGAGCCAAUGAUCGCUCUAUUAUUAAGCUUAAGGCUACCUAUAUCGCAAGUUCAAUUUUAGCACUCUCUCUAUUAUUUUAAGCCCAAAGGCCAUUCGAGUUUGAGUGUACCCUCACAAAAAGACCAUCUAUAACGCCUUAAGUCUAUCCUAAUUUUUUUAAGUCAAAACAAAUUUUAGCUCGGCUGGGGGCCAUCUGAGUUCAAGCAAACUCUCACUCGGGGACUAUUCUUAAGGGUUGAAGGCCAUCUUAAUUUUAAGACGAUCAAGCAUCCCUCGAGGACUAUCAACGAAGCCUAAUAAGGCUGUUUUAUUUUACAGAAAUUCGUGGCCCCGCUAUCACUCAAUUCAAACUCGAAAGUUUUGGCGACCUAAGUUUGUAUAAAAAUCUUUCCUCGCUUAUUCUGAGGGAUGGAAAAGGGUUUUUAGGGAAUAUCAUAUUAACCAAUCAAAAAUCAAAGGAAUCCCUAUGUCCAGAUCUAGUAUUCAAACAGAUUAAUAAAGUCAUAUGCUUGGAUUUUGUCACAAACACAGGAAAAUGGUAAUCCAGCACAAGUCAAAAGCAAAUUGAAGAAGCUUUUAUAUUAAUUAAAUGACGAUUACAAAAGCACACGAGGGGUCCUUACACCGAAACAAAGAAGCAAAAAGCACAGCUAAAAAAGCCUAAUCUACUUUCGAAGGUACAUCCUAAGGGGCGAGAACUGUUUCCUCGAGGACCAUAUUUCGAUCCUCAGAGCAAUACCUUCGAAAGUCCCCUCCAAAGCAGCUAUAGCCUAUCAAAUAGCAAAAGCUUUUAUCAGGAAGGGAAAAUUUUGGCUUGGUGAAAAAUUUGGCGAGUAUGGGUCUCGUCAGUGCUACUAUUGUGAAUCCACUUCUUGGGUAUUGCACCUGCGUGGGAUGCAAAAGUUAGUAGAUGGCGCCACCUUACUCUAGGGAAAGCAAAGGGAGUGAAGCGCCAUACCAGGUUGAAGUUAAGAGAGAUUAGCAACAAUUUACGGCCCAUAUAUCCUCCAAUAUGGGAAUCAUUUGAAGACCCUCUCUCAUUAUUUCAGGCUAAUAACAACAACAACCACAACAACAACAACGACAACAAACCCGUACGAUCUCACUCAGUAGGGAAAAGGUUUGAAAAAGAGCCAUGGCAUAACUGGUAAAACCGUUGCCAUGUACCCUUACGGUCAUGGACUUGAAUUAGAGUUUGGAUGAGGAUGAAGAGAAGAAAAGGGUUAAAGGUCGUUGAAGAAUGACUAGGUGGAAUUUUGGUUCAAGAAACCUGCCAUUUAUAGAAAGUCCAUAGCAUAAUCAAUGGCGCAAUCAAUGCCUUGGGGAACGUAUCAACCGAUACAACCAAUGCUUUAAACGGAUCGGCAGAGAUAUCACCAUUUUUGGGAGAAUAAAUGGGCAAUGUAUUGAAUACUUCUAAGAAGAUGGACUAAUAGGAUGUUUUCAAUCACUUGGAAUACAAACGUCACGAGCAUGAUUUCAUCGCAAGUUCAAGAAAAUCAAUUGCAAGAAAGUUUCUUAUUAUUUUCACUUUAAGAAACACAGGGACUAUUUGUAUACGGCUAAAAUCGGAGAGUCUAAUUUUAUGAUUGUCAUGGCACUCCAUUGCCCACCAUCAGGGGGUUCGAGGCACGACUUGAGGUCAUACCCCGAGGGUUCCCAACGAUCCGACCUUGGGGUAAUGCAAAUGGAUAGGUAUGAUGGACAAAUGGGAAAUUCCCAAGGCUCGUUGUUAGAGCUAACUAGGUCUACUAAGCUAGUACAAAGUCUGUACCGUGACAUUAAAUGGAUGUAUCAGCCUCAUACCUUUGUAAUAAAUGCACAUGUACUAUAUUGAGAUUCUCCCCUCCUAUAUAAAAGGGGAUUUUUAUCAUUUUGUAGGAUACAUGAUAUUCAAUACAAGAAUAAGAACAUUUUCUGCACUCUAACUUAAACAUAUUUUCCUUCAUUUUAUUGCGUAUAUUUAUCACGUUUCUUUCAUUUAUUGUAUUUCGUUGAUUGUUCUUCAUUUAUUACUCAUCAUUGAUCAUAAAAAGCAUUCAUCAAUCUCUUAGAACUGUUAGACCUUCAUCAGCUAUCCACAGUCUACGCAUUAGCUCGAUCUCGACGCCUAGUAUAGGCUAGCUUGAGACCCCGAUUUGCGACUACUCGGUAUCUAUUGUGAUCUAACUUCAAGAUCUUAUCUUACUUUCUAGUCUCACACUUAUCAUCUACUGCCUAACAACUAGAAUAAAAAUAAAUUAUGUAUUUUUAGAACCGUAAACUUAAAUCUAAUUAGAAUUAUUAUUUUCAAGGUAAACACCCUCGCCUUGAAUGAAAUCACAAACCUAAGGUUUUCCUACCCAAGAGUGGUCGGAUUAAAACAUGGUACUAACUAUUAGAUUAGUCAAAUAAAGAAAGGAAGGCUAAAACAAUUCAUGGUAUGCUCAUUUCUCAACAAUUAGUUUCAUUUAUUUGACCAAACUCAAUCCUAAUGUAUAUAUAUAAAGCAAAUAAUAAUGAGUUGCAUAUUUUCCCAAUCCCACGACCCUCCUUGUUACUCUAAGUUUUGCAUCAGUAUUUUACGUCAAUUUAUUUUAAGUAUACUCUAGCUAAUCAGUAUCUUUGCACUUGAAUUCAAUUAAUACUCUUUAUUUUAUAUUAAACUAAAGCAAACAAGCAGAAGUAUUUUCACAUUUUAAUCUACCAUUAGGCUCAACAGAAAAUUAAUAACAAGAAAUUUCAACACUAAGUUAUUGAAAUAUCAACUAAUAGAAGUAGGAUAUGGGAUGAUCUUGACCUUGAAUCUGAAAUCCAAUGAGAAAAUAGAAACAAUUUUGAACAAGCAACCACGACCAAGAUCUAUCAACAGACUUCGGCUGGGAAAACCUCAACACUGAUAUUUCUUAUAGAACACUUUGCGCUCGUUUCUCCUCUAUUUUUUGCUACUACUAUCAUGUACCCUAUGUUUGUUACUUUGUGUGUUUUUCUUGUCUUUUUACUUUUUUGGUUUUGAGAUAAUGAAGAGAGAUGGGUGUGAGGGAUUUUUUUUGUGUGUUUUUAUGGAGGGGUGGGAGGCUGGUCUAGGUUAAUGGAGGUUCGGUAGCUGGACAAAAGUGAGUAGAAGAAGGGUUCGACUGGUGGAAGGUGUUUUUAGAGUUGGUGAAGGUGAAAGGCAGAGGCGUCACCGGUCAUCACCUUCGGCUGCAGUGUUCUUUAGAGAGGAGGCGUCGCCGACUUUGUUGGAUAGAGGAGGUUGGGAGGUGGUUGCUGCUUCUUAGUGAAGGGAGCUCUCUCUAGGGUUUUAGGUAGCUGGUGGUGGCAAGGUGAAGAUGGCGGCGGCGACGACUUGUUAGGGAUGAAGAAAAAGGGAGUCCCUUAGGGUUAGUGGUAGGUUCAAAUUUGAUGUGGUUAGGGAUUAAUU